rnacentral:rRNA from 1 species
UACGGGGGGGGUAAGCGUUGUUCGGAAUUACUGGGCGUAAAGGGCUCGUAGGCGGCCAACUAAGUCAUACGUGAAAUCCCUCAGCUUAACUGGGGAACUGCGUGUGAUACUGGAUGGCUUGGAUUUGGGAGAGGGAUGCGGAAUUCCAGGUGUAGCGGUGAAAUGCGUAGAUAUCUGGAGGAACACCGGUGGCGAAGGCGGCAUCCUGGACCGAUAUUGACGCUGAUGCGCGAAAGCCAGGGGAGCAAACGGG